rnacentral:tRNA from 1 species
UGGGGAAUAGCUCAGUGGUAGAGCACAUGCUUAGCAUGCACGAGGUCCUGGGUUCAAUCCCCAGUGCCUCCA